UACAGAGGGUGCAAGCGUUAAUCGGAAUUACUGGGCGUAAAGCGCGCGUAGGUGGUUUGUUAAGUUGGAUGUGAAAUCCCCGGGCUCAACCUGGGAACUGCGUUGGAAACUGUCAGGCUAGAGUAUGGGAGAGGGAGGUAGAAUUCCACGUGUAGCAGUGAAAUGCGUAGAGAUGUGGAGGAAUACCGAUGGCGAAGGCAGCCUCCUGGCCUAAUACUGACGCUCAUGCACGAAAGCGUGGGGAGCAAACAGGAUUAGAAACCCUGGUAGU
rnacentral:rRNA from 1 species